rnacentral:rRNA from 1 species
CUACGGGGUGCUGCAGUGGGGAAUAUUGGACAAUGGGGGAAACCCUGAUCCAGCAAUGCCGCGUGUGUGAAGAAGGCCUGCGGGUUGUAAAGCACUUUCGGUUGGGAGGACUGCUUCUAGCACUAAUAUUGUUGGAAGUUGACGUUACCUUCAGAAGAAGCACCGGCUAACUCCGUGCCAGCAGCCGCGGUAAUACGGAGGGGUGCAAGCGUUAAUCGGAAUUACUGGGCGUAAAGCGCGCGUAGGCGGCUAGAUCAGUCGGGUGUGAAAGCCCCGGGCUUAACCUGGGAACUGCAUUCGAUACUGUCUAGCUUGAGUACAGGAGAGGAGAGUGGAAUUCCACAUGUAGCGGUGAAAUGCGUAGAUAUGUGGAGGAACACCAAUGGCGAAGGCAGCUCUCUGGCCUGAUACUGACGCUGAGGUGCGAAAGCGUGGGGAGCAAACAGGAUUAGAUACCCCAGUAGUC